rnacentral:miRNA from 1 species
UUGCAGAUAAAAUACAGGAUGUCCAGUUGAGUAUGCUCCGUGCAAGAUUUGGGACACACUUAAGCUAAAAAAUGAUUUGCUGUUUAUCUGAAAAUCAAAUUUAA